UGGUGAUUCAGAUACACAUGAAGAUUUUCGUUCGACCAAUAAACUGGAAGGCUCUGGAAUCUCUGUGCAGGAUGUUGUUCAACAGGAUGUUAAGAUAAAUCCAGUGAUGAUUUAUAUGAAGGGUGUUCCUGAUGCUCCUCGCUGUGGAUUCAGUGCAUUGGCUAUCAAAGUUCUGCAGCAAUACAGAGUUCCCAUAAGUUCUAGAAAUAUUCUGGAAGAUCCUGUUCUUAAAGAGGGUGUAAAAGCUUUUAG